rnacentral:piRNA from 1 species
UAAACCUACAAUUGAUUGCUUCUAGAGUUU